rnacentral:rRNA from 1 species
UAGUGUAGCAAUACAUUGCCUAGAGUGACGUACGGGUGCGUAACACGUAUGCAAUCUACCUGUAACAGGAGGAUAGCUCGGGGAAACCCGAAUUAACCCUCCAUAAUAUAAUUGUGAGGCAUCUUAUGAUUAUUAAAACUGAGGUGGUUACAGAUGGGCAUGCGUCUGAUUAGUUAGUUGGCGGGGUAAUGGCCCACCAAGACGAUGAUCAGUAGGGGAACUGAGAGGUUGAUCCCCCACACUGGCACUGAGAUACGGGCCAGACUCCUACGGGAGGCAGCAGUAGGGAAUAUUGGUCAAUGGAUGCAAGUCUGAACCAGCCAUGCCGCGUGCAGGAAGAAGGCCUUCUGGGUUGUAAACUGCUUUUGUCAGGGGAUAAAACGACCAUGCGUGGUUAAUUGAAGGUACCUGAUGAAUAAGCCACGGCUAACUACGUGCCAGCAGCCGCGGUAAUACGUAGGUGGCAAGCGUUGUCCGGAUUUAUUGGGUUUAAAGGGUGCGUAGGCGGUUUUGUAAGUCAGUGGUGAAAUACUCCAGCUUAACUGGAGGGGUGCCAAUGAUACUGCAGAACUUGAGUACAGAUGAGGUAGGCGGAAUUGACGGUGUAGCGGUGAAAUGCAUAGAUAUCGUCAAGAACACCGAUAGCGAAGGCAGCUUACUGGGCUGUAACUGACGCUGAGGCACGAAAGUGUGGGGAUCAAACAGGAUUAGAUACCCUGGUAGUCCACACUGUAAACGUUGAUGACUCGCUGUUUGCGAUACACAGCAAGCGGCUUAGCGAAAGCGAUAAGUCAUCCACCUGGGGAGUACG